CACCUUCUGUGUGGGGGAGAGUGUGACGCCCCAAAUAUUGGUUUGCCACAAUUGAGGGCAUUAUUAAUGAUGCAUGUGUAAAUGUAUAAAGGGAAUGGUGGUUCCGCCAGAGUGAUAGAGGGCGCUAAGAGAGCACAGUGCGUUAUUCAGCAUUUUCUGGACUGCUCCUGAUAGCCCAGUAACAUGGAGAGCUGAUCACACGCACAUUUUGGUCUUGUGUUUAUUCCACCAUUUCACAGCUCGUCGAGCUUCAUUUCCUCCUGUGAGACAGCAAUGCCCUGAGAAUAAGUGGAUGACACUCAGACGUUGUUUUUGUCUGUGUAAUUCGGAGACUUCACCACCAAACACCCCUUCCCACCCCCCGGUCUCCCGGAUUUUCAGAGACAAAUGUUCGCAG